CCAUAAGACUGGGAUAACUCCGGGAAACCGGGGCUAAUACCGGAUAACAUUUUGAACCGCAUGGUUCGAAAUUGAAAGGCGGCUUCGGCUGUCACUUAUGGAUGGACCCGCGUCGCAUUAGCUAGUUGGUGAGGUAACGGCUCACCAAGGCAACGAUGCGUAGCCGACCUGAGAGGGUGAUCGGCCACACUGGGACUGAGACACGGCCCAGACUCCUACGGGAGGCAGCAGUAGGGAAUCUUCCGCAAUGGACGAAAGUCUGACGGAGCAACGCCGCGUGAGUGAUGAAGGCUUUCGGGUCGUAAAACUCUGUUGUUAGGGAAGAACAAGUGCUAGUUGAAUAAGCUGGCACCUUGACGGUACCUAACCAGAAAGCCACGGCUAACUACGUGCCAGCACCCCCGCGGGGU
rnacentral:rRNA from 1 species